rfam:Schistosoma haematobium scaffold830_6, whole genome shotgun sequence.
GCAUUGCUGAGGAGUCCCACAAUAGGACGAAACGGUCUUUCAAUGC